rnacentral:tRNA from 1 species
GGGCCAGUAGCUCAGCGGUUAGAGCAGCCGUCUUAUAAGCGGCAGGUCGAUGGUUCGAAUCCAUCCUGGCCUA